UGUACGCAAAGCAGGUGGUGGGUAAAACAGUUUUUAACCUGCAGCCUUCGGUGAUAAUCAUCGGGAAAUACUUUUUGAAAAGGAGACCGAUUGCGAAUGGCCUUGCUAUGGCUGGAAGCCCCGUAAUGCUUUGCACCCUUGCUCCUUUGAACCAGUACCUUUUUGACAAUUUUGGCUGGCGGGGCAGUUUGUUUAUUCUUGGGGCAAUUUUACUGAACUGCUGUGUGGCUGGUGCCCUUUUCAGGCCCAUUUGGAAUGGCGGCUGGCCCCGUUCAGAAACAAACCAUCCAGCAAACUGAAAAGGCUGCCAAAGAGCAGCCUGAUAAAGGCUCGGCGGAAAGGGUCCAUCCCAAAACUGUCAGUUUGUUGCCUGGAACGGAGCAGAAGGAGGACAAAGACUGCUGUGAAAAGUUUAAUAAGUACCUUGAUUUGCCCCUCCCCUAAGCACAGAGGUUUCCUGAUUUACCUGAUUGGAAACGUGCUCAUGUUUCUAGGCUUUUUUGCCCUGAUGGUUUUUUUGGCGCUGAACGAGAUCAUAGCUUUAAUUUAUGAAAACGCCGCCUCCUC
rnacentral:rRNA from 1 species